CUCCUUUUAAGCUACAUCUUGACAUGAUUUAAAAGGGUUCAUCAUUUUGUCUCGAAUUGAUUUCACCAUUUGACAUUUCUAACAGUCUUUAUGUUGGGCCUAGGCAUUUAUGUUGAGUUGCUUACAUUGCCAUGGUACAAGCUUUGAGAUCUUUAUCAUACUGGGACUUUUAACAAAUAUUACCUCUCUGUAACACAAAUAUGUUACAGUUUGCCCCCGAAACAGUAAAUAGUCUAGCGAUUUGCUUUGUUGUGAUUAUCUUCUAUGGUUUAGUUGAUUUGGUGAUAUUUUAACAUUCAGUUGUGUUAUGGCACGAAAAUAAGGAACUUGUGUGGAUAUGGUUCUCUGUGCACCAGGACGGGGUGCAAGGUUCUAUAGAAUAGGAUAAUGGACUCUCUGUAACAGUUUGCCCCCGAAACAGUAAAUAGUCUAGCGAUUUGCUUGUUGUGAUUAUCUUCUAUGGUUUAGUUGAUUUGGUGAUAUUUUAACAUUCAGUUGUGUUAUGGCACGAAAAUAAGGAACUUGUGUGGAUAAGGUUCUCUGUGCACCAGGACGGGGUGCAAGGUUCUAUAGAAUAGGAUAAUGGACUCUCUGUAACAGUUUGCCCCCGAAACAGUAAAUAGUCUAGCGAUUUGCUUUGUUGUGAUUAUCUUCUAUGGUUUAGUUGAUUUUGUGAUAUUUUAACAUUCAGUUGUGUUAUGGCACGAAAAUAAGGAACUUGUGUGGAUAAGGUUCUCUGUGCACCAGGACGGGGUGCAAGGUUCUAUAGAAUAGGAUAAUGGACUCUCUGUAACAGUUUGCCCCCGAACCAGUAAAUAGUCUAGCGAUUUGCUUUGUUGUGAUUAUCUUCUAUGGUUUAGUUGAUUUGGUGAUAUUUUAACAUUCAGUUGUGUUAUGGCACGAAAAUAAGGAACUUGUGUGGAUAAGGCUCUCUGUGCACCAAGACGGGGUGCGAA